GCGAGUGAAGCGGCAAAAGCUCAAAUUUGAAAUCCCCCGGGAAUUGUAAUUUGAAGGUGGCCUCAGUUAGUCCAAACAUUCUUAAGUCCAUUGGAAAAUGGCGCCAUGGAGGGUGAUAGCCCCGUAAAGAUGUCGUUUGUUCUAUUUUCUCUGGCCACCAAAGAGUCGAGUUGUUUGGGAAUGCAGCUCUAAGUGGGUGGUAAAUUCCAUCUAAAGCUAAAUAUUGGCGAGAGACCGAUAGCGAACAAGUACAGUGAUGGAAAGAUGAAAAGCACUUUGAAAAGAGAGUGAAAAAGUACGUGAAAUUGUUGAAAGGGAAGGGCUUGCAAGCAGACACAACCUCGUGUUGGGCCAGCAUCGGGGCGAGAGGAAGUAAAAACGAUUUGGAAAUGUAACUUUCGAGUAUUAUAGACCUUAUCCCUCCCUUCCAUCUCAUCCCGAGGCCUGCGGUUUAUCCUAGGAUGCUGGCGUAAUGGUUGCAAGUCGCCCGUCU
rnacentral:rRNA from 1 species